rnacentral:rRNA from 1 species
GUCGAGAAUCUUUCACAAUGGGGGCAACCCUGAUGGAGCGACGCCGCGUGGAGGAUAAGGUCUUCGGAUUGUAAACUCCUGUCAUGCGUGAACAAGGUUGCUUGGUUAAUACCUGGGCAAAUUGAUGGUAACGCAAGAGGAAGAGACGGCUAACUCUGUGCCAGCAGCCGCGGUAAUACAGAGGUCUCAAGCGUUGUUCGGAAUCACUGGGCGUAAAGGGUGCGUAGGUGGCGUGGUAAGUCAGAUGUGACAGCCCGGGGCUCAACCUCGGAACUGCAUCCGAUACUGCCAUGCUAGAGUACUGGAGAGGUGACUAGAAUUCUCGGUGUAGCAGUGAAAUGCGUAGAUAUCGAGAGGAAUACCAAAGGCGUAGGCAGGUCACUGGACAGUUACUGACACUGAGGCACGAAGGCCAGGGGAGCGAACGGGAUUAGAUACCCCAGUAGUCC